UAUAUGACAAAAGAAUAAUAAAUAAAUUGGUCAAGUACUAGGCUUAGGCCUAAAUUAUGUCUAUUUAUUUAUAUGAAAUGAACUUGAAUGAAUGUUUUAUUUGACCAGUUGGACUCUCUCUUUUUCAAGAAACACACAAUCCAAGAAGGAAGAUCCUUUCCUGGACUAUAGAGAUGCACCACAUGCUGCAAGGAGUUCCUCUGCCCGUUCUGCAGCUCUGCUUUGUUUCACCCAACAAAGUUGAGCAAAGUGAAAUCCCAUUUGGAGAGUCAUUUCAAACACAGUUCUCCAUGAAGACCAUCAUAUAUGGUCUGGCUGGGCUGCAGAAUUUCUCUGCGGGAUGUUGAGAAGACCUUCUUCUCUGGUCUGGAUUAUCAUCACAGUGAAGUGGAAGAAAAGAGAAAAGAGGGGAGAACAUCUGUUGGAGUCAGUGAAGAGAUUGUCGCUGAAGUUCUUCUGUGUGGUUCACGUCAUGAACAAAUUUGUUUUUGUGUGUUCAACUGUUGUAAUAUAUUAUUUUAUAAAAUAUACAC